AUUGAACGCUGGCGGCAUGCCUUACACAUGCAAGUCGAACGGCAGCACGGGAGCAAUCCUGGUGGCGAGUGGCGAACGGGUGAGUAAUAUAUCGGAACGUGCCCAGUCGUGGGGAUAACGUAGCGAAAGCUACGCUAAUACCGCAUACGAUCUAUGGAUGAAAGCGGGGGAUCGCAAGACCUCGCGCGAUUGGAGCGGCCGAUAUCAGAUUAGGUAGUUGGUGAGGUAAAGGCUCACCAAGCCAACGAUCUGUAGCUGGUCUGAGAGGACGACCAGCCACACUGGAACUGAGACACGGUCCAGACUCCUACGGGAGGCAGCAGUGGGGAAUUUUGGACAAUGGACGCAAGUCUGAUCCAGCCAUUCCGCGUGCAGGAUGAAGGCCCUCGGGUUGUAAACUGCUUUUGUACGGAACGAAAAGGUUUCUAUUAAUACUAGGAGCUCAUGACGGUACCGUAAGAAUAAGCACCGGCUAAC
rnacentral:rRNA from 1 species